CAGAUUUGUAGAAAUAUAGUGCAUAUAAAAUAAUAUUACUAUUAAUCACUAACUAUGGAGUUGUGACAUAGGAGCAACAAAUGGAGGGGAGGGGAGCUUGUGGACGUUUCCCCCUUCGGAAAUUUGCCUGUUCUCCUAUUAUUUUUUAGAUACUAGCCGACCACAAGCUAAGAUCAUCAAAAUGUUCGCCCAAAGUAAAGACAACAAAUAUUCAUAUUCGUGAGAUCUAUAUGUCAUAAAAAAUAGCGGCAGUUAUAAAUGCAAAGG